rnacentral:rRNA from 1 species
GACGAACGCUGGCGGCGUGCUUAACACAUGCAAGUCGAACGGAAAGGCCUUUUCGGAGGUACUCGAGUGGCGAACGGGUGAGUAACACGUGGGUGAUCUGCCCUGCACUCUGGGAUAAGCCUGGGAAACUGGGUCUAAUACCGGAUAGGACCGCACUUUAGUGUGUGUGGUGGAAAGUUUUUUCGGUGUAGGAUGAGCCCGCGGCCUAUCAGCUUGUUGGUGGGGUAAUGGCCUACCAAGGCGGCGACGGGUAGCCGGACUGAGAGGUUGGUCGGCCACAUUGGGACUGAGAUACGGCCCAGACGCCUACGGGAGGCGGCAGUGGGGAAUAUUGCACAAUGGGCGCAAGCCUGAUGCAGCGACGCCGCGUGGGGGAUGACGGCCUUCGGGUUGUAAACUCCUUUCGCCAGGGACGAAGCGUUUUGUGACGGUACCUGGAGAAGAAGCACCGGCUAACUACGUG